GAAAGACUUCGCCUGUGUUGAUGGUUGAGGGUUGCACCGUUGCUUAAGGGAGGAAUGGCGUGUAUGGUAUUGUAGUGCUGCUAGGAAGCUGGCAGAAAUGAAGAAAAACCGGCCGUGUAAUUUCUGUCAGUGAUGUCAAAGGCGCCUGUUUCAUCGGAGAAAACCUGGAGACAGUCAUCUUUCCUCAACAUUGAGGCAUUUUCCCCUUAUUACUGGCUUUAAGAGGAUGUUUAAGUGAUCUUUUGAUUUUGAAACGGCAACAUUAUCGAUGAAUAAUCGGGUUGACACAACGUCAGCUGUAAACCAAGUGCAAAAUAUUUACAUCUUGACUACCAUGAACAAUAACUGAUGUAAGCCAGAAAGAAACACUGACUAGAUACCAUGUAAGCGAAUGACAGUUAGUGGUAAAACACGAGCUGUGAUUAUGAUUAAACGAUAUGAAGAAUGUGGUAGAAAGCAACGCCUGAGGGCCCAUCAUAGAGAGAUGCAUGGAAGCAGGAUGCUGCGGAGAUCACCCACGCACAUAGAGCAGCCACACUAAAGGGGUACCGUAGAAGAAGCCUCACUAUAGAAGAAAGCAACACUUGCACGGUGUAAAGAGCAUUUGGACGAUGAGCACCAGUAAAGUAGCUAAGGCCCCUCAGAAGCUAAUUACUGUAUAAAUAGGUAAUCGCGAUGACCAACCAGGCAGAGCAAUAGAGGUGCAGUGCAAGCUAUAUUGUACGGUACGCAUAGUGAAAAAUACAGUGAAAGCAGCGACUAUGCAAGAGAAACUGUUUCGGGCACCGCAUUACGUAGAUAAAAAGGGAGAUAAUAGAAAUGGUUUUAUUUUUUGGUGAUAUCUUCCAGAAUUAAAAACUAAUAAAAAUGCCGCCUUUUUAAAAUGGUUAAAGAAAAAAAACUCGCAACUUUGUAUUUUUCUUACCAUACAAAGCAUUUUACUAAUAAAGAAUUUUACUAAUAAAAGUAAUUCACCGCUGUAUUCAUUCACCCAUUGAGAAUAAUCAAUUCGGUUUUCAUAUAUCCGCAAAUUCUUUUAAAAUUACAAAUUUUGUAAUGAUACAUUCUGUCUUCAAAUAUUAUUUAUCCCUCAAAUUACAAAUUCAUUGUUAAUAAGAUAGUUAAUGGAAAGUUGAAUUAAAUGUGGAUCUUAAUUCAUUAUGCUUUGUUUUACAUAAACUAUUUGUAUAACUUUA